ensembl:lncRNA YPEL3-DT YPEL3 divergent transcript
ACUUCCCUCCUUUGUUGGCGGGUGCUCUUGGGAUUGCAACCAGCGCAAGCAGCACCCUUCUGCAGAAGUAAAGAUGCCUUGCUGGGAAGUCUUCUGUCUCAGUGCUGGUUUUUCUUGACUACACUGAGCACUUGUUUUCAACAAAUUUGAGGGUCUUCUGGGAUCCCAUUCUCCUUUGGGAGGGGUAGCGAUUACUUUUCCUCGUGAGACACGUCCCACUGCCUUGUUGCAGUGGCCCAAGGAGCGGAGGAUCGGGUCCACCCAAAGUGAGGAAUAAAUCCGGACUUUCAGCAACGUGGGCAGGAAGGAGCCUUAAAAUUCCCAGGCAAGUGGGUAACUCUGUGCACAGACCAAGCUCUUGCUCCUGGAUAAUCAAGAAGAACAACGAAGCCAAAUCCUGUUAAAAUUUUUUGCAGAGGAAGAAGUAUCAAAUAGAAGAGAGGAAAUUGUUGGGACAGCUAAGCUCUUCAAAGACUCAACUUCCUGGUCAUAAACUUCUCCCCGUUUUUCUUCUUUUUCGCCAGUCUACCCUGUUUGGGAAAGUUUAAACCUUAGCCAGUCGGGAUCAGCUCAGAUUGUGCAGUCCAUCCCCAGUCAAUGGGGAAAGGACACAGAAACAGGAACUGCGUUAGGGUUAAAAAGCCCUUCUCUCCUUUGUUUGGGGUGCUCUUGCGAUUACAAGCUGCGCAAGUAGCACCGUUCUGAAGUAAAGAUGCCUUGCUGGGAAA